rnacentral:ribozyme from 1 species
UUCACGUGUGUUUGUAGAUACUAUAGGAUACAACUUUGUAAAUUAUGUUAAACUAUCUAUUAUUAGAUAGUUACAUGUCUUUCCGCACAUAUGAGCUUGGGUAUACGGGGAAACCCAACCCCUUGGGAGGAUGGAAGACAUGGCUAAUUUGAGAGGA